rnacentral:rRNA from 1 species
CCUACGGGUGGCAGCAGUAGGAAAUAUUGCUCAAUGGGGGAAACCCUGAAGCAGCAACGCCGCGUGGAGGAUGAAGGUUUUCGGAUUGUAAACUCCUUUUGUUAGAGAAGAUAAUGACGGUAUCUAACGAAUAAGCACCGGCUAACACCGUGCCAGCAGCCGCGGCAAGACAGAGGGUGCCAGCGUUACUCGGAAUCACCGGGCGUAAAGGGCGCGUAGGCGGGAUAGCAAGUCAGAUGUGAAAUCCUAUGGCUUAACCAUAGAACUGAAUUUGAAACUGUGACUCUAGAGUAUGGGAGAGGUAAGUGGAAUUCUUGGUGUAGGGGUAAAAUCCGUAGAGAUCAAGAAGAAUACUCAUUGCGAAGGCGACCUGCUAGAACAUAACUGACGCUGAUGCGCGAAAGCGUGGGGAGCAAACAGGAUUAGAUACCCCAGUAGUC